GACCAAAUCAGACAACAACGAAGAGUCAAAAGAUUUAAUGGAUACUUCACUUAUGUUUUAUAAACCUUCCUGUAGUAAACUGUGAAGACUGUAAGAAGAACAACACGAAUCAAGUAAUCGAAAGUAUACUUUUAAUUUAGAGAGAGAGAGAGAGAGAGAGAGAGAGAGAGAGAGAGAGAGAGAGAGAGAGAGAGAGAGAGAGAGAGAGAGAGAGAGAGAGAGAGAGAGAGAGAGAGAGAGAGAGAGAG
rnacentral:lncRNA from 1 species